GAUGAACGCUGGCGGCGUGCUUAACACAUGCAAGUCGAACGAUGAAGCCCAGCUUGCUGGGUGGAUUAGUGGCGAACGGGUGAGUAACACGUGAGUACCCUGCCCUUGACUCUGGGAUAAGCCCGGGAAACUGGGUCUAAUACCGGAUAGGAGCGCCUGUCGCAUGACGGGUGUUGGAAAGAUUUUUCGGUCAUGGAUGGACUCGCGGCCUAUCAGCUUGUUGGUGAGGUAAUGGCUCACCAAGGCGACGACGGGUAGCCGGCCUGAGAGGGUGACCGGCCACACUGGGACUGAGACACGGCCCAGACUCCUACGGGAGGCAGCAGUGGGGAAUAUUGCACAAUGGGCGGAAGCCUGAUGCAGCGACGCCGCGUGAGGGAUGACGGCCUUCGGGUUGUAAACCUCUUUCAGUAGGGAAGAAGCGAAAGUGACGGUACCUGCAGAAGAAGCACCGGCUAACUACGUG
rnacentral:rRNA from 1 species